AUUGAACGCUGGUGGCAUGCUUUACACAUGCAAGUCGAACGGUAACAGGCCGCAAGGUGCUGACGAGUGGCGAACGGGUGAGUAAUGCAUCGGAACGUGCCGAGUCGUGGGGGAUAACGCAGCGAAAGCUGUGCUAAUACCGCAUACGAUCUAUGGAUGAACGCGGUGGACAGUCAGGCCACGGGCGAUUGGAGCGGCCGGUGUCAGAUUAGGUAGUUGGUGGGGUAAAGGCGUACCAAGCCGACGUUCGGUAGCUGGUCUGAGAGGACGACCAGCCACACUGGGACUGAGACACGGCCCAGACUCCUACGGGAGGCGGCAGUGGGGAAUUUUGGACAAUGGGCGCAAGCCUGAUCCAGCAAUGCCGCGUGCAGGAAGAAGGCCUUCGGGUUGUAAACUGCUUUUGUACGGAACGAAACGGUCUGGGUUAAUACCCUGGGCUAAUGACGGUACCGUAAGAAUAAGCACCGGCUAACUACGUGCCAGCAGCCGCAGUAACAC
rnacentral:rRNA from 1 species